AGUCUUAACUGGGCGUUAAGUUGCAGGGUAUAGACCCGAAACCCGGUGAUCUAGCCAUGGGCAGGUUGAAGGUUGGGUAACACUAACUGGAGGACCGAACCGACUAAUGUUGAAAAAUUAGCGGAUGACUUGUGGCUGGGGGUGAAAGGCCAAUCAAACCGGGAGAUAGCUGGUUCUCCCCGAAAGCUAUUUAGGUAGCGCCUCGUGAACUCAUCUUCGGGGGUAGAGCACUGUUUCGGCUAGGGGGUCAUCCCGACUUACCAACCCGAUGCAAACUGCGAAUACCGAAGAAUGUUAUCACGGGAGACACACGGCGGGUGCUAACGUCCGUCGUGAAGAGGGAAACAACCCAGACCGCCAGCUAAGGUCCCAAAGUCACAGUUAAGUGGGAAACGAUGUGGGAAGGCUCAGACAGCCAGGAUGUUGGCUUAGAAGCAGCCAUCAUUUAAAGAAAGCGUAAUAGCUCACUGGUCGAGUCGGCCUGCGCGGAAGAUGUAACGGGGCUAAACUGUGCACCGAAGCUGCGGCAGCGACGCUUAUGCGUUGUUGGGUAGGGGAGCGUUCUGUAAGCCUGCGAAGGUGUCCUGUGAGGGAUGCUGGAGGUAUCAGAAGUGCGAAUGCUGACAUAAGUAACGAUAAUGCGGGUGAAAAGCCCGCUCGCCGGAAGACCAAGGGUUCCUGUCCAACGUUAAUCGGGGCAGGGUGAGUCGACCCCUAAGGCGAGGCCGAAAGGCGUAGUCGAUGGGAAACGGGUUAAUAUUCCCGUACUUGGUGUUACUGCGAAGGGGGGACGGAGAAGGCUAUGUUGGCCGGGCGACGGUUGUCCCGGUUUAAGCGUGUAGGCUGGUUUUCCAGGCAAAUCCGGAAAAUCAAGGCUGAGGCGUGAUGACGAGGCACUACGGUGCUGAAGCAACAAAUGCCCUGCUUCCAGGAAAAGCCUCUAAGCAUCAGGUAACAUCAAAUCGUACCCCAAACCGACACAGGUGGUCAGGUAGAGAAUACCAAGGCGCUUGAGAGAACUCGGGUGAAGGAACUAGGCAAAAUGGUGCCGUAACUUCGGGAGAAGGCACGCUGACACGUAGGUGAAGUGAUUUACUCA
rnacentral:rRNA from 1 species